CAGCCGCCGCGGUAAUACGCAGGGUGCGAGCGUUGUCCGGAAUCAUUGGGCGUAAAGAGCUUGUAGGUGGUUUGUCGCGUCUGCUGUGAAAAUCCGAGGCUCAACCUCGGGCUUGCAGUGGGUACGGGCAGACUAGAGUGUGGUAGGGGAGACUGGAAUUCCUGGUGUAGCGGUGGAAUGCGCAGAUAUCAGGAGGAACACCGAUGGCGAAGGCAGGUCUCUGGGCCAUUACUGACACUGAGAAGCGAAAGCAUGGGGAGCGAACAGGAUUAGAUACCCCGGUAGUCCCUGUCUCUUAUAC
rnacentral:rRNA from 1 species